rnacentral:rRNA from 1 species
GACAGAGGGGGCAAGCGUUAUUCGGAAUUAUUGGGCGUAAAGGGCGCGUAGGCGGCUUGGCAAGUGGAAGGUGAAAUCCCUCGGCUUAACCGAGGAACUGCCCACCAAACUGCUUUGCUUGAGGCCGGGAGAGGCGAGUGGAAUUCCCAGUGUAGCGGUGAAAUGCGUAGAUAUUGGGAGGAACACCAGUGGCGAAGGCGGCUCACUGGGCCGGUAUUGACGCUGAGGCGCGAAAGCCAGGGGAGCAAACGGG